rnacentral:lncRNA from 10 species
UGCGAGCGAAAAAAAUUCUUUUGCAAAAAUAACCACUUGUGUAAUUCUGCAGCAUGUGAAACUGGAGGAAGGAAACACAAAGGCUGGGAAGUCCAUGCUCAGCAUGCUGACAGGCGAGGACUCUCCUCCUGGUGGAGGAUGGCUGCCAUAUCACUGCAUCCUCACGCGGAGCAAGAAGAGCCUCUCCAGAUCAACUGGACCCGCUUCCCUCCUGCAGAGUCAAAGGGAACGUGAAAAGGGAAAAGUCAGGACAUGCCCAGCAGCCUGAGUGCUCCAAGGUGACAGGGCAGGCUGAACCUCCCAGGCAGACCAUACUUUUCCAGGGCUGGCUGAGCCUGGGCUGUUCAUGAGCAGACACUCCUGAGCCGUCCUGGAAAAGGGAGAUCUGAGUUUAUGGGAAACAGCUCGCCUUCAGAUAAGCAGGCAGUCAAGAGACACAGUUCACUCAGCAAACACUCGGUAACUUCAGCAUGUCGUCUUAGAUGCUAGAGUAGAAGAUGAUUCAAGCACAGCUUCUGCCUGGCAAGGGCUUGCAGUCUAGCAGUGGGGAAGAGACGAAGCCAAGAACAUCCAAAGCAAAGGGAGAAACUGCUGUGAAGGAAUGCAAAAUGAGGGACUGGGGGUCAAAGAAAGGAAAUUGUGUCUGGAGCCCAGGGUCAGGACCAGGCACAGCCCCCACCCUGUGGGGCGAGCCCAGGGCCUCCAGCCCAGCCAACUGGGGUGGGGUCCUGGGGUCAUGCCGCUGGUCUCCCCACAAGAACCUUAUUAUGAAGAAUUUGGUCUAAAAAGACGUUAAAAUGGUACAUACCUGCAGACAUUGUGUUUUAUUAUAUUUCACUUAGCUUUGUGAUCAGUUUAAAUAUUUUCAUGAUUUAAAACAUUUUCCCAGAAAUAAAAUUCUAUUUUAUUACCUCAUGAAUAGGGAAAUUAAGGAUUUAAAUCAAGAUGGCUUGCUUUGGCAUCUAGAUUCAAUGAAGUGGUUAGUUAGUUGUCUUUGUGGCUUGGAGUGGAGAGAGCGUCUACGAAAAAUUUUCUGAUCAGCUCCUGAGCCAUGCUGUCACAGCCAGAUCUUUGUAGAUGGAGCACAGGUGGCUGGUGAUGAUCCCUCCUCAAGUACACCUCUCUUUGUAUCUUGGUGAAGCGCUCAUCUAAACAACUUGUUAUGUGCUUUCCUAGCCAACCAUCUUCUACAUGUUUAACAAAAUCAAUAUAUUUUUUAUGAUUGUCUCUAAUUAGGUUCCUGAUUUUAAUUUCUAAUUGGAUAUAGCAUCGUUAUGUUGCAUUUUUUAAGAAUAAAUC